rnacentral:snRNA from 1 species
UAGUCGAUCCUAAGAGUCGGGGGA